rnacentral:rRNA from 1 species
GACGAACGCUGGCGGCGUGCUUAACACAUGCAAGUCGAGCGGUAAGGCCCUUUCGGGGGUACACGAGCGGCGAACGGGUGAGUAACACGUGGGUGACCUGCCCUCAGCUCUGGGAUAAGCCUGGGAAACCGGGUCUAAUACUGGAUAUGACUCCAUGACGCAUGUUGUGGGGUGGAAAGCCUUGUGCGGCUGAGGAUGGGCCCGCGGCCUAUCAGCUUGUUGGUGGGGUGANGGGCCUACCAAGGCGACGACGGGUAGCCGGCCUGAGAGGGCGACCGGCCACACUGGGACUGAGACACGGCCCAGACUCCUACGGGAGGCAGCAGUGGGGAAUAUUGGACAAUGGGCGCAAGCCUGAUCCAGCUAUGCCGCGUGGAUGAAGAAGGCCCUAGGGUUGUAAAGUCCUUUCGGCGGGGAAGAUAAUGACGGUACCCGCAG